GGGUCGCUAGCUCAGUUGGUAGAGCAACGGACUUUUAAUCCGCAGGUCCCGGGUUCGAGCCCCGGGCGACCCACCA
rnacentral:tRNA from 2 species